UUUCCGUAGGUGAACCUGCGGAAGGAUCAUUAAAGAGAAAGGGUCUCAAGACCCGACCUCCCACCCUUUGUUGUCGAACAAAUCUCGUUGCUUUGGCGGGACCGUCUGGUCUCAGGACCGGCUGCCGGAUUUACAUCUGGCAAGCGCCCGCCGGAGACCAACUCAACUCUUCGUUUAACUAUCGUCUGAGUAAAAAUGAUUAAAUCAAUCAAAACUUUCAACAACGGAUCUCUUGGUUCUGGCAUCGAUGAAGAACGCAGC
rnacentral:misc_RNA from 1 species